rnacentral:rRNA from 1 species
AAUCAACGCUGGCGGCGUGCCUAACACAUGCAAGUCGAACGCGAACGUUCCGCAAGGGACAAGUAGAGUGGCGCACGGGUGAGUAACACGUGGACAACCUGCCUGGGAGUGGGGAGUAACCUUCCGAAAGGAGGCUAAUACCGCAUAAGACGGGAGGACCUAAGUUCUCCGGUUGAAAGGAGCAAUUCGCUCCCAGAGGGGUCCGCGCCUGAUUAGCUAGUUGGUGAGGUAACGGCUCACCAAGGCUGCGAUCAGUAGCCGUCCUGAGAGGGAGCACGGCCACACUGGAACUGAGACACGGUCCAGACUCCUACGGGAGGCAGCAGUGGGGUAAUUUUGGCAAUGGGCGCAAGCCUGACCAAGCAACGCCGCGUGGGUGAUGAAGUAUCUUGGUAACGUAAAACCCUUUCGGCAGGGACGAAGCAAGUGACGGUACCUGCAGAAGAACGCCCCGGCUAACUCCGCGCCAGCAGCCGCGGUAA